UAUUAGUACAUGCUAACGAUAUUCAAAAAGUACAUACCUCAAAGAAAACGAUGACGCGAGUUAUCGUCUCUAACGUUCGAGGACUACAAAAAACACUCGGAUUGUAGGCAACAGUUUACUUCCUGGGAUUAGUGACGUAGAUAAGACCAACAUUAUCAUAGUUCAGCCCUCUCUGCUUUGCUUGGGUACGCCCUCAAAGACGAGGGUGGGGAGCGCCGAGUCAGAAGAGAGCUAAAAUGGCGGAGGUUGGGAGUCCCUGCUUUUACUCUGUUUGCAAACUCUUGUUUCAUCGUUUAAGCGAUUAAAUCUCUCGAGUAGACGCUGUCUCUUUAGAUGCGAGGGCAAAAUAGCACUUUAUGGACUUCCACAGAGGACAUCAUGUUUAAUACGGUUCCGGAAAAAUCCAGUCAGAAGUUGUUCACGGAGUUUUCACAAUAACUGCUUCUCAUGAACCGAAGCUGGAUUUGCGCGACGUCUCCUCCUGAAAGUUGGAUUACUGUGCACUUCUGGAUCACAGGCUCUGGACACAUCCUUCUACACUGUAUGCAAACAUGCAACAUCAUUACACACAGUACAAGGAGUCAGACUGGCAUAUGAGGAGCAAAGGUGUGUAACACAUAUGAUGUAUUUAGCUAGUGAAACCACUACCAGUCUUAAAUGUAUAACUGAUGAUGACAAAGUUUUUUUUCUCUGCAUAAUCAUAGGAACCCAGACAGUAGCAUCGUUUCACAAUGUUUCCAUCACCAUCAUCAGUGGAUGCCUUUGCCGUCCGUAGCCUGAGAUUUCAGAUUUGCAGCAAAAAAAUUUGAUUUUCUCAUUUAUUGGAAUGCUAUGCAGGUUGUACCUUGCAGCCAUCCAUUACAAUGUCACCAAGCCGUAACAAAAGCAGGAGAGGGAAAGUACAAGGCUAUGUUCCCAAAACACACAAAUGACAUACCUUAUGUGGAUGAUGUGAUCAGGCUUGUGUUUGAUGAGGUAUUUGAAGAUAAGCUGAAGGAAACCCC